rnacentral:rRNA from 1 species
CUAUAAGACUGGGAUAACUUCGGGAAACCGGAGCUAAUACCGGAUAAUAUUUUGAACCGCAUGGUUCAAAAGUGAAAGACGGUCUUGCUGUCACUUAUAGAUGGAUCCGCGCUGCAUUAGCUAGUUGGUAAGGUAACGGCUUACCAAGGCAACGAUGCAUAGCCGACCUGAGAGGGUGAUCGGCCACACUGGAACUGAGACACGGUCCAGACUCCUACGGGAGGCAGCAGUAGGGAAUCUUCCGCAAUGGGCGAAAGCCUGACGGAGCAACGCCGCGUGAGUGAUGAAGGUCUUCGGAUCGUAAAACUCUGUUAUUAGGGAAGAACAUAUGUGUA